rnacentral:misc_RNA from 1 species
AAAGUCGUAACAAGGUUUCCGUAGGUGAACCUGCGAAGGAUCACUAACACGUGUCCAACGUUAAUCCCCCCCGAGCACCUUCAUUCGCUUGACUAAGAGUUAAACAACCUUCUUAUCAACUUUUUACCUUGCAGCCAAGAGAUGACGGUCUCAUACAGCCACAAGCAAAAGAGUCCGUUACCGGAAACCCGACUGUUAACAAUGGAUAUCUUGGCUCAC